CAGGAAAUUAGAUUCUUUCAAAGCUGGCACCUCACUGAAAACUGAAAUGCCAUCUACUUUCUAGCCCACGCUCACCCUGCAAGUCACAUUAAGUGACUGCAGGUCCACUUGUUCCUGUAGAGGCAAGUAGUGAAGGUCAUAUACGUUUAUGUGAACUCAACAAACUCCUUCACUGAGAAAAGUGAUUUUUCCAACCUGAUUUGUGGGCUUUGAUUCCCCAGUGUUGUGUUUUUAGUUUCAUGAGUAAUAGUUACACCUGUUGAAGAUUUCAAAAUGGACAAGAUAUUGAUUCCAGGCAUUUAAAUCUUCCAAGUUCUUUGCAACUUUCAACAUCUCAGAGUUUGGAGAGUGAUUUCACCUGUGGAAUUGCAAGAGGGUGAGGCAGUUCACCUGGACCUCCACCUGGACUUCAGGGAGAAAGAUGAACUCUGGUCUCCAUCUGCUCAGCAGUCCACCUUUGGAAUGUUCUUCUUUUCCCAUCGAGCUCUUGGCCUCAUCCUUCUCGACUGAUGAUCAGCCAGAUAACAUUAGCUCCCGACCAAUCAGGCGCCUGGAUCCGUACCUCAUCCCACAGGACAGCUGAAGACAUGAAAGGGGAGAGAGAAGGGGA